AUUCAGCUUAUUUCAUUUACUUUUUCACUUUGAAAAGUAUUUUGCAAAGUACAUUGGAAUUGCAAAUAGACAAGUUAUUGUCCCUCUCAUUCUUCUUACCUGUCACAUUUUAUGGUAAAAGAUUAUCAAUUGAAAAACGCAGGACAUCAAAUGUGUGUAAACCCCUCAAGAUGGGUUUGCUUUCAAACAUUAUUAUUAUUAUUAUUAUAGCUCUUUCAACAAAUAGUGAAUGGUACAAAAAAUGAAAAAUAGUUCAUAUUUUCUUCAUUUCCUAAUUAUAUUUUCAAAUUCGGUAAGACUCCCCCACGUUUUUAUUUAUUUAUUUAUUUAUAUAUUUUAUUUACACUAAUCCGUAAAUAUUGUGUAUUUUUCAAGAGAUUAACACUCACCACAACAAAUAAAAAAUUAGCUAAUGGUUUGAUUUCCAAUAAAUUAGAAGAUUGUUUUCUAAUAUUUUGUAUCUAAUUUUCUUUUUAGAAAAAUGUUGUCCUUGAGUCUAAGUUGAAACUUGAAAACAACUCAUGUCUUGCUUUUCUACUAUUUAUAUCAGUUGCUUAAAUUUUUAUUUUUAUUUUUUAUUUUAAAAAAAGACCUCAUGUCUUGCUUUUUAAACUUUUUGGCUCACUCUUCUUUUCAACGCUUCCAACUUUUGGUUGUACUAAUAAGCAUCCAUCACAUACUUUAAUAAUAGAGACCUUAAUGGCAAGUUAAAGUAUUCGUCGAAAAUAAAAUUACCCAUUAGGGAGUAUUAUUUUUUAAUUAAUUAACCACAAAAGAUUAGUUAAUGCUCCUUAUUAUGUUUUCUUUAUUUUCCUUCUCGUAUGCAUCGAGUGAGAGUAAAGGAAAAGCAACCAAUUACUUUCCACUCACCUUCCAGCACCCAAUCAUCUUCUGCUACUUUUACUUUCUGCAAAUGCUUUCCCUUUUAAAGCCCAUUUAUAAAUCAUUAAUCAUCCAAAGUUCACUUCUUAUCUAAGUAUCAACACCCCACAAAUUAGUGAUCAGAUAUUUGAAGCUGUUUAUGGUCUUGCUUUGCCAGUUCAGGAUAUUAGCUCAGUUUUGCCAAUAUAUAUCUGUCAACCACAUAGCUGUCAAUAUGAUGUCGACUGACACUUCACAAAGUAUUAGCCUGAAGGUGUUGGUGGAGAAAGAUAAAAAUCGAGUUGUUUUUGUUGAGUCCGAUAAGGAUUUUGUUGAUGUUAUCUUCAGCUUCAUGGCGAUGCCUAUUGGAAACAUUGUCAAACUUGCCUGUGAACACUCACUAGAAGAAAACUUUGGUUGUUUGAACAACUUAUAUCGAAGUGUUGAGAAUCUUGAUGAGGUUCAUCUAGAAAGUGUGAAGUGCAAGGACAUGCUGCUUCGUUCUCGAAGUGCAGCUGAAAUUUACUACAGGAACCUAAAGCUGAAAUUUGUUGACACAAAUGAUAUAUAUGUAUGCUGUGUUAAGCAUAUCACUUCAACCAUCACUAUUGAUGGUUGUACUUUCACCAGUACUAGUGGUCCACACUAUACAUGUAUGGGUCCUUACUACAAUGCUCGUUGCGGUUGUGGAUUUACCAUGAAUACCUUACAUAAACUAGAUAACCAACCCUUUACACCUCAAAGAGGAUCCUCUGUACCUCAAGGAGGGGUGUUUGUGAAACCUACCGCAAAGUUUAUGAUAUUUGAUGAAUUCAAGUAAACCCCAUUUCCACUAUGACAUGUGUAGCCCUGCUCAGUAAGUUUGAAGAUGCGGAUAGAAGCACAAGAGAAUAAAGGACUAUAAACAUAGGAAUGGAGAAGGUAAUAAACAAGUUAACUAGUUUUACAUUUAUUUUAUUAUUUUCUAUGAACAAAAUGAAUGGUCACCAUCUCUCUCUCAGGUUAUAAAAUUGAUCAGUUAUUCAUUAAUAACAAAGGCACCAUUCUCUGAGGUCAUCUUGGAAUCAGCAAAUGACAAAAGCAGUUUUUGUAUUUGCGAGGAAAAAUGUGUCCAAGAAGCACGAUUCAACCUGAAAGGGCCAGGGACGCAGCAACAGACGAAACAAAGAUAACUUUGAAGCUUAUUGUCAACAAAUCUAAUAACAAGGCAUUGUAUGUGGAAGCGAAAGAGGAUUUUAUUAAUCUUAUUGGCAGUUUCCUCACAUAUCCACUUGAUUUUAUGUUUGAAAAAUUGCCUUGUUUGUCCUUAAGGGUAUGUUUGGGUAGUUUAUACAAGAGCAUCCAAGAUUUGGAUGUUGUGGAUUUCUUAAAAUCUGAGGAGAUGAAGGCAAUUUUGGUCAAUCCAAAGCUGCCUCGAGGACUUGCUUUGCAUAAGCAGCUCAUCCCCAUCGAGGAAGCUUCAUAUCCAUCUUACUCUACUGUUUCUUCCCUUUUCAAUAUCUCUUUCGAUGGAGGUCAGACCCGUCCAGUGGAAGCAAUAACUGGCAAUGGAUUCUUUAGGGGACCUACCAUUUUCAUGGUGACAGACGAUUUGACCAUAACACCUUUAUCUUCAAUAUCUCUUGUAUGUUUUAUUGACAGAUUAAAUAUUCGUCUAAGUGACAUUUCAGAGAAAGAAGUGACCGUGGGUGAGGUGGAGGCUUUGCAUCUAUUGGAGGCUGCUUUGGUGUCGAAACUACUCUGACUGACGUUUUCUUACCUAAAAGAAUCAAAGCAGAAACUCUAUGAUGAUUCAAAAAAUUGAUGCAUGAAUGAAGAAGAAACUCUGAAAAUUGAGCAACGAUUGAACAGGUGUCAAACUGUUCCUUUUGUGGCAUUUAUGUCAAUUGCUUCUUUUAUAUUUUAGCUUUCUAAUAUGCGGUCUACUAUAGACUCAAGUAUCAGUUGUAAUUAAGUUGUUUCAGCUGUGUUUUGUUCUCAAAAGUUUUGGACUUGUGCCUUGUGGUAGUCA